rnacentral:lncRNA from 1 species
GGGCCAGGCUGCCAGUCACAGAAAGGAGGGGAUCAGCGCGCGGGCUUCCUGGGCCGCGCUGGGCCGAGGCGAGGGGGAAGGGGAUGCUCGGGCUGCGGCCUGGGAGGCUUCCUUUCUUUUUUUUUUCCUAUUUCCAAUUUCUUUUCUGUUUGGUUUUAUUCUCUUUUUUUUCAAAGCCUUUUUAAAAAAUGAUUUUGAGGACAAUUAAAUAUAAACCAAAUACAAUCAACACAAAAUAAAAUAUGUCUCAGCAUGAAUGCACAAAAUCAUGUUACUAACUUAUGAUAAAUUUUAAUUUCCCAAAACUUAUUUAAAUACUAAAUUUAAAUGCUCACAAAAAUAAUUAAUUAAAUCAUAUUAAAUCCUAUUAAGUGAGAUCCAAAUUUUAGGUGUUACAAACUCUACCCCCCAUAAAAGAAUCUCAUCCUCGAGAUUGAGCAGGACAUAAACAAAUAAUUGUGGAUUUAAUUCUCUCCAAACAUCUUCUCCUUCUCAAGUCGCUUCUACCUCUAAAUACCAAUUCCAUUGUACUAGCAAUCUCAACAUCUCUGGUUAGGUAGCAUACCUCGUAGUUUUUCUGAAAAGUCACUUAGAAAUUUAUUCCCUACACGGUCGUGAAGAUCAACAUAAUCGUCCAGCUGAUUCACUGUAGCUGUGGGUGGAGCCUGUACUGCUACAUCCACACUAAUUCUCUCUCCCUUUGGUGUUGUCA